UCGACUUUAGUUGCUUGAGCUUUGUCGAAUUCUUCUUCAGAAGUGUUUUCCAACGUUUCGGGAUGGAUGGAAAUGAGAAAAAAC